AUGCGAAUCUCGGGAAUGGUCAUAUGACCGCGCGCCUUCUCGUCUCCUACGUUUUUUUUUAUUUCGGUGAUAUUUCCCUUUUGUUAUUAUCCAGAUACAGAUCAAAAUAUUAUCUGCGUCUGCGCUUGGACAUAGACAAUAUGAAGUGGUCAUUUAAAAGAGGGAGUUUGCUUGGACAACAGCAAAUGGGACUGACCGUGCCCACCUCCCUGAUCCUGCUGCUGGUUGUCCUUAUCCUGGCGGUCGUCGUUUAUGCUCCACCGCGAUGCUGCAGGAAAAGAAACCGGGUGGAGGAGCCACUGUGACUGACCCUGCCAUCCUAUAACUACCGUAAUAUUAAUUAAGGUUCGGUCAAUCGCUGAUCAAUAACGUUGAGACAAAUUAAUGAAUCGUAUGAUAGGGAGGGGGUCGUGGAGGAAAGCGCUUCAUCCAUCUUUACAUUACAAAGUUACCACCCAGUUAGUGAAAUGUAUGUAAUUAAUCGUCUGUCCAAGUCACCCUCCGUUUCAAAAUGUUUGUUUUUGUGAACUAUUACUGAAGCGGACAUCCGCACCCUCUGACCGGUCCCUGUCCCGUGUAUGCGGUAGCUGCUUCCUCUGCUGACGCUGCGCAGCUGCUACGAUUCGUGUCCCAAGCCCAGAGUCCGGCUGCUGAGGUUGCAGAACGGGACUGCCAGAUGCUGCAUCCCAGCUGCAUUUAGUCAGCCCUGUCUCUCUUUGCUCUGGAGCUAAGCUGGAGAGAUUAACCCUUCAUAAGGGCGGACUUACCAAAAGGCAAGAAUAGGCAGCCACCUGGGCCCCCAAAAACUAGGGGGCCAUGAAGACAGAAUUUCCUGAAUUGAAUUGAAUUUCCUUGUCAUUAUGCACAGUAAAAUGAGAGUCUAUGUACAACUCCUCCAUAUACAAUGAUAAAAAUAAUACGAUGAAAACUGUAAAAGUAUACAUUAUGAAGACAUAAAUACAUUGUACAUAUACAUAUA